GCCGGGGUAGCUCAGACGGUAGAGCAGCUCACUCGUAAUGAGCAGGUCGUCGGUUCAAGUCCGAUCCCCGGCUCCA
rnacentral:tRNA from 2 species